GACGAACGCUGGCGGCGUGCCUAACACAUGCAAGUCGAGCGGAGACAUGUUGCGGAAGUUUUCGGAUGGAAGCGAUAUGUUUUAGCGGCGGACGGGUGAGUAACGCGUGAGCAACCUUUCCUUCACAGGGGAAUAACGCACCGAAAGGUGCACUAAUACCGCAUGAGACCACAGCUCUGCAUGGAGCAGUGGUUAAAGGAGAAAUCCGGUGAAGGGUGGGCUCGCGUCCGAUUAGCUAGUUGGCAGGGUGAUAGCCUACCAAGGCGACGAUCGGUAGGGGUUCUGAGAGGAAGGUCCCCCACAUUGGAACUGAGACACGGUCCAG
rnacentral:rRNA from 1 species